rnacentral:rRNA from 1 species
ACUGGGACUGAGACACGGACCAUACUCCUACGGGAGGCAGCAGUGGGGAAUUUUCCGCAAUGGGCGCAAGCCUGACGGAGCAAUACCGCGUGAGGGAGGAAGGCCUUUGGGUUGUAAACCUCUUUUCUUAAGGAAGAAGAUCUGACGGUACUUAAGGAAUCAGCAUCGGCUAACUCCGUGCCAGCAGCCGCGGUAAUACGGAGGAUGCAAGCGUUAUCCGGAAUUAUUGGGCGUAAAGCGUCCGCAGGCGGCAUUAUAAGUCUGCUGUCAAAGACCGCAGCUCAACUGCGGAAAGGCAGUGGAAACUGUAAAGCUAGAGUACGGUAGGGGUAGAGGGAAUUCCCAGUGUAGCGGUGAAAUGCGUAGAUAUUGGGAAGAACACCAGUGGCGAAAGCGCUCUACUGGGCCGUAACUGACGCUCAGGGACGAAAGCUAGGGGAGCGAAAGGGAUUAGAUACCCCUGUAGUCCUAGCUGUAAACGAUGGAUACUAGGCGUAGCUUGUAUCGACCCGAGCUGUGCCGAAGCUAACGCGUUAAGUAUCCCGCCUGGGGAGUACGCACGCAAGUGUGAAACUCAAAGGAAUUGACGGGGGCCCGCACAAGCGGUGGAGUAUGUGGUUUAAUUCGAUGCAACGCGAAGAACCUUACCAGGGCUUGACAUGUCGCGAAUCUAGGGGAAACUUUAGAGUGCCUUCGGGAACGCGAACACAGGUGGUGCAUGGCUG